CGUGAACGCUGGCGGUAGGCCUAACACAUGCAAGUCGAACGGCAGCACAGUAAGAGCUUGCUCUUACGGGUGGCGAGUGGCGGACGGGUGAGGAAUACAUCGGAAUCUACUUUUUCGUGGGGGAUAACGUAGGGAAACUUACGCUAAUACCGCAUACGACCUACGGGUGAAAGCUGGGGAUCUUCGGACCUUGCGCGAUUGAAUGAGCCGAUGUCGGAUUAGCUAGUUGGCGGGGUAAAGGCCCACCAAGGCGACGAUCCGUAGCUGGUCUGAGAGGAUGAUCAGCCACACUGGAACUGAGACACGGUCCAGACUCCUACGGGAGGCAGCAGUGGGGAAUAUUGGACAAUGGGCGCAAGCCUGAUCCAGCCAUACCGCGUGGGUGAAGAAGGCCUUCGGGUUGUAAAGCCCUUUUGUUGGGAAAGAAAAGCAGCAGGUUAAUACCCCGCUGUUCUGACGGUACCCAAAGAAUAAGCACCGGCUAACUUCGUG
rnacentral:rRNA from 1 species